rnacentral:rRNA from 1 species
UACGAAGGUGGCAAGCGUUACUCGGAAUUACUAGGCGUAAAGGGCAGGUAGGUGGUUCAAUAAGUCUAUUGUGAAAGCUCCCGGCUUAACUGGGAGAGGUCAAUGGAUACUGUUGGACUUGAGUAUGGGAGAGGAUACUGGAAUUCCUGGUGUAGCGGUGAAAUGCGCAGAUAUCAGGAGGAACACCGAUGGCGAAAGCAGGUAUCUGGACCAUUACUGACACUCAGCUGCGAAAGCUAGGGGAGCAAACAGG